CUCAGCAAAUAAAUAAGAGGCCCUCUCUUCAUUAUGACUACCACUGCUCUGGCCUAUAAGAGAAAGAAAAGCAGCAGGCACAGCUUCAUUAUGACUCAGCCCUGUGGUAAUGGAGGUGAUCUCACACACUUUCUUUACAUUCCAGCUGCCACUGAGGGACAGAUGUGUGGCCAGAAUCUGUUGGACUUCCAAAGAUAAUGUAAGAAACUUCAACUUCAGGACCUGGCAAGUUCAUAAUCUCUAUAUGCUGCUGGACAAUUUCUGCAUACUUAAAGGAACUUUCCUAAUUCAUACUUAGUUUUUGAUGAGCAAGCUUUGUCUCAAGAUCUAACCACUAUUUCCAUAAAACAUAAAGUACCCUAAUUUUUUCAACAAAGUUUGGAAGUCUACACAGAUGCAAGAAUAAAGAAAUUUAAUGAGGCUGCAGUACUUGGGUUUUUCAAAUACUGAGCCAGAUCCAUAAAACAAAGUAGGCACAUUCAAAGGGAGCUGAGUCAGUACUGGAAUAAAUUGUUCAUAUUUUUAGAUGAGAAUGGGAUUUUGUUAGAAGUUGUUUUUGGCAUCUUCAUCUUCAUGGGAACACAACAUCACUGCAAAGAGGUGAAGAAUUUUGCAGCAAGACCCAGGCUUCUUUACUACAUCUAUUCCUGAGGCCCAAAGACUACCAUAGCUGAAUAAGUCAAAUGAAGAGGUCAUGUCUGAGUGGGGAGUGGAAAGAAACAGAUACAACAUGUUCAAGAAAGGAACAGAAACAACUGGAAAUAUGUGACAGGUAGAUCACUUUGCAAUGUCCUUAGCAUAUUCAAGCUGUAAAAGUAGAGUUUAAAUUGUACUACUUUCUACUGAAUUAUUUUUAUUGUUCAGUAGAAUCUAGACUUGAUGUUUAUGGUGGGUUUUCAAAUCUCACCUCAAUGCAGACCCAAAUGUACAUUAUCAAGAAAAUGUCAGACCUAU